rnacentral:rRNA from 1 species
UACGAAGGGGGCUAGCGUUGCUCGGAAUCACUGGGCGUAAAGCGCACGUAGGCGGCUUUCUAAGUCAGGGGUGAAAUCCUGGAGCUCAACUCCAGAACUGCCUUUGAUACUGGAGAGCUUGAGUCCGGAAGAGGUGAGUGGAACUCCGAGUGUAGAGGUGAAAUUCGUAGAUAUUCGGAAGAACACCAGUGGCGAAGGCAGCUGGCUACUCGGAUAUUGACACUGAGGCACGAAAGCGUGGGGAUCAAACAGG